rnacentral:lncRNA from 1 species
CGUGCACGAUACCGUGCUAAGGCGCCUCACGUACGUCGCAGCCUCGUUAGACCUGAGGCCGCGCACUCGAGCAACAUUCAAACAGAAAGCCUGCGGAAGUGGAGACCCUGCAUAAGAACAAACGAAACGGUUAAAUAUGACAAUUCCAACGACUAACGGUUGCAUUUGAGCGCGAACGGCAGUUUACCCCCAAGCUUGCGGCCCAGACUUACCGUGCACGAUACCGUGCUAAGGCGCCUCACGUACGUCGCAGCCUCGUUAGACCGGAGGCCGCGCACUCGAGCAACAUUCAAACAGAAAGCCUGCGGAAGUGGAGACCCUGCAUAAGAACAAACGAAACGGUUAAAUAUGACAAUUCCAACGACUAACGGUUGCAUUUGAGCGCGAACGGCAGUUUACCCCCCAAGCUUGCGGCCCAGACUUACCGUGCACGAUACCGUGCUAAGGUGCCUCACGUACGUCGCAGCCUCGUUAGACCUGAGGCCGCGCACUCGAGCAAAGUUCAAACAGAAAGCCUGCGGAAGUGGAGACCCUGCACAAGAACAAACGAAACGGUUAAAUAUGCCAAUUCCAACGUCUAACGGUGGCAUUUGAGCACGAACGGCAGUUUACCCCCAAGCUUGCGGCCCAGACUUACCGUGCACGAUACCGUGCUA